CGCCGCGAAGCCGGUGCAGAGCUGCAGGCGAAGUUCGCAACGAACUCAAACUCCAUGGAGAUUCCGGGCUCGGAAGGCCCGCGGUCGGGAAUUUCCUAAGGGGACUGCCUGACUGAAUUUCCCUCAGGGUGUAGAAACCAGACUAUGGUUUGAAAAUCCAGGGUUCUAGAUCGUGUGGGACAUGCAACAGAUCACUGCCUUCUAUGGGCCUCGGUUUCCCCAUCUGUCAGCCGAGGUCUUCACACUGGAGUGGUGGAGCGGAAAAGCCUCGAACUGGGGGCAAAAGCAAGGAACUUGACUAAGGACACCCACCCUUGGAACGCAGCCACCAUGUUGUGAGGAAGCCCAAGCCACAUGGGAGAGGUGACAUGAAGUGGUCUGGCCGAUAUCUCCAGCUGGGCUCUCAGGCAACAGCCUGCCUCAACCACCAGCUAGGUGGUGAACUGAGACAAUUCCGGCCCCCAGCCUUUGAGUCUUUCAGCCAACGUUCCAGAUAAGGAGCAGAGACAAGCCAACCCCACCGUACCCUGUCUGAAUCUCUCUCCCACAGAAAUUGGGAGAUAAGAAGUGAUCAUUGUUGUUUUUAAGCCGAUUAGCCCGUUAAAUACAAAGAAAACAUUGCAGUGAAACUGGACAGGAGGACCAUUGUAUCGGUAAGCAGUACUGACUCAUGGCACACGACAUCUGGGGUGACCAGGAUGAAGACAAGCUUCAAGCUGAAGGUUGAGCAGCAUCUUCUUAAAACGCAGAAGACAUCCUUGAGGAACCCUAAGUAUUUAGCUGGAAUCUUGUGCUGGUGGUCAAUUGUCUCCAUGUGUGUGCUUGGGAGAAUAAAAGGAAAUGAACUGGUUUUCUUUCAACACUGUCCUCACUCACCUGGCACCUGAGAAAGAAAGAGGGAGAGAGGAACAGGAGGGGAAAAGGAGAAGCUUUCUGAAUUUGAGAAACAAAAUUUCAGCUGCCCAGAGACUGUCUAGAGGGGUGUCCGCUUCUCCCGCCCUUCCUUCUCUCCCCUCACCACCUCCCCGGAGGCAUCUGGGACCUCACUCUCACCACUUACCUCCUCCCCUCUCUGCUACAAGCGAGUCCAGAUUUUUAGUAAUCUGUUGACCAUGUUGAAGUUUAUCUGAGCCCUGUGCUCCCAGAGAGCCGGGGAGCUGGGACAGUGGAGAAACUGCAAAGGACAACCCUGCCCUCACGUAUUCAGCUUAUUCCCAUCCCACUCUUCAGAUGAGACCCACCCCACUACAGAUGAGAUCCAUUCCAGCCUUCAGAUGAGACCUGCUGUCCACUCUCCUCCCCACUCUCUUGCCUCUGUAAAACCCCUCCUGCCUUUUCUCGGAGAUAUUCUGCAUUAAUGAAUGACCUCCCUCUUGCUAGAGCCUGAAUAAGAUCAUCUCUUUAAUUAUCCAGUGUAUUUCUUUCACACUGUGCUGCCCAUCCUGGGAGUCUGAAAUAGAACCAUAAGCACAUUUGGAGUUAGGAAGGGGAAUAACCCCAGCUGGUCUUGGGAAAGAUGUGAACAGCACCCAGUUAAUGGACUGGAGGUAAGGGUUCCUUGAAGCAUGCAUCCUCCUUCUGGCCAUGUUUUUCACUUCAAAACCUCAGAAGCAGUUGGCUUAAGAGGGAGUUUAUAGUAUGCCUAUGAAGCAAAACAUAAAUGCACACUGUGAGUGUGUGGGGGUGGCAGCGCAGGAGAGGAGGGGUGCCGGAGACCCUCUUGGUGAGGGGCAGAUGCAAUUUUGUUCCCUUCACAAAGACUCCUGUUUGCUUGCUGACGCGCUGAACGCCAGACCACUUCCCAUUCAGUACUGGUUCUCUUCAAGUGUUGCUACGGCCAGGGCAGUUGUGUUUUGUACAGAUUUGCCAUUUGUCAGAGGUUGUUCCCAGAGGCCUGCGAGACAAGGACUUUUGUUGGGGGUCCGCUGGAGGAAGUUGGCUUUUCAAAAUCAGGAACCUUUUUGGCUUGUUAAAUGGAAAGAGGCGAUGGCCUCUUUGGCCCUAGUGUGGGAGACCUGGGGAAGCCAGGUCUUAAAGUGCUCACUUAAAAAUGCUGUUUUAAAAAAUAUGCAGUGAAAUGCUAAUAGCCAAUAGUUUAAUUAAAGAAAGACAGCACCUAUAGUCUCAACAUCCCAACAUAAUAUAAUAGGUGUUUACUGUUUUCAUUUUAUAUAUCAGAUUCCAAUCUCAUAUUUUUACAGUUAGUGGCAAUACCGAUUUAUGUUUUUACACUCUUAACAUGAUGUCAUAUAAUCAUUUUAUUGUGCAAUACUAUAUGAUAUAAUUCCAUUGCCUUAAUGGAGCAUAUGUUAUCAUAUUAGACAUUCAGCUUGUCUUUUUUCUUUUUCUUUGCUAGUGUUGAUAAUGCUGAAAUUAACAUUGUGAGAUAUAACUUUCUGUUUUUGAAGAAUGAAACAUAAAUAACCGAGAGCUAAUAAAGGGAUUAAUUAAGCUCCUACAACAGCAGUUCUCAAAUCUUUUGUUCUCAGGGCCCCUUUACACUCGUAAAAGCAAUUGAGAACCCCAAACAGCUUUUGUUUCUAUAUUCUGAUAUUUCCCAUACUUUAUUAUAAAUUAUAACUGAGAAAAAUCUAAAUACUUAAUAUAUUUUAAAAUAACAAUAAGACUCCAUUGCAUGUUAACAUAAAUUACAUAAUUUUUAUGAACAAUAUAUUUUUCCAAAUUAAAGAAAUUUAUAAAAAUGACAUUGUUUUACAUUUUUGCAAAUCUCUUUAAUUUUAGUUUAUACAUUCUCAUAUCCACUUCUGCAUUGAAUGUCUUGUGAUAUAUUGUUUUGAUGGAAGUAUAUGAAGAAAACCAUCCUCCCACCCUGAUUGUUUUAUCUACCGCCAGCAGCAAAAAUCCAUGAGGAUCUGUGAGGACAGUGUUGAAAGAAAACCAGUUCAUUUCCUUUUAUUCUCCCAAACACACACAAGGAGAAAAUUGGCCACCAGCACAAGAUUCCAGCUAAAUACUUAGGAUUCCUUAAGGAUGUCUUUUGAAGAGAAAAAAAAAAAAGUUUACAUGGUUGAAUAGCUACAGCCACGAUGGAAAGUUAUCAUUUUCCUUGGCGUUACUGCUAUUCUUACAAACAGCCCUUUUCCUAAAGGGUUGGGAAAGGGAAGGGGAACCCUUAGGGGUCCUUGGACCACACUUUGAGAAACACUGUCUUAUAACAUUUGCAGCACUCUACUAGGUAUUUCUCGGAUUUAUUCUGUACUCAGAGAUUAGAUGAUAGUGUAAUUCAGCGCUGAAUUUUUGAAAUUGAGGUCCCGAGGAGCAAGUCCCUUGGCUAAAGUCACCCAGCUGGUUGCAGUCACUUUAAUUUAUUCCAAACAAUUCAGAUGCCUCAUCUGUCCUUUUGUCAGUUGUUGCAUAAGGCUUGUGGGAGCACAGAGCUGCAUAAAGGAUCCCAGACUUCAAGUUGCUCACCAGCCAAGGGCUAGCCAAGCUCACAAAUAAACAAGACCAAAUCUAGGCAAACAUCCCACUCCAUUUGUGGAAGAGUUACUCUCUCUCUCUCUGUCAGUAUUACGUACACACAGAAAAGUGCACAAAUCAUAACACGGCUCUACGAAUUUUUCAGAAACUGAGCAUAUCCAUAUCAUAUCUCUUUUUAAGUCAAUUUUUGGAUGGCUUUUGUCAAGAGGCAGGGUGGCCCGGGAGAAUUUGUAAACCUGGGAUCUACUGAUCUCUUGGGCUCUCUCUUCUUCUGUUAAUGUAAGGUCUGGCUAAAAAAACCUCACCAAACUGUCGGCCCGUAACAUUCUGAGUCUCUAUGAGGGUACUUUGGAGGAUUGUUUUGUGGCAGGGCUGAUUGCGGAUCAUUUCUCAAUUUAAUUGGACUAGCGGGGUAAUAAAGCAGGAAGCCUGCCAUCUAGUGGUGAAAAUAAAUAUUGCUCUCUUCCUCAACUCUUGGGCUGAGCUUUCAGAACCAGUCCUUUUCUUCUCACCCCCACUUUCCUUAAUUACAUGAGUUUUAAUUGUGCCACAGUCACCAUACUUAACUGUCUUAGCUACAUUAUAAUGAGUGAAGGGAAUACACUUGCGGUUUGGCUGACCACAUGGGAGGGGAGGUCUCUUGCGUUCAUAGUUAAGUGCUCCAAAACUCUGCCUUCAGGCUCAGGCAUGCCCUCAGGGUGCACUUGCAGCAGACCAACAGGAAGCCGAAAUUAUAAGUAUCCGUAAGAUUCUGUCUGUGCCGCAAGGCUUCAGCUUCCAGGGAGGGACGCCAGCUGGAGUUCCUUCCUACAGCAUAUCUUUAAAAGUGGGACUGUCCGCCUGCCGAGGCAGGGGACAUGGGUUCAUGCCCCGGUCCGGGAGGAUGCCACAUGCCGCGGAGCGGCUGGGUCUGUGAGCCAUGGACGCUGAGCCUGCGCGUCCGGAGCCUGUGCUCCGCAACGGGAGAGGCCACAACAGUGAGAGGCCCGCGUACCGCAAAAAAAAAAAAAAAAAAAAAAAAAAAAGUGGGACUGUCGGAGCUCUCCCCCUGCCCAUCGACGUAGCAAAGAACAAAACUCUGGGCAGAGGACCUGGGCAUGGAAGAGGUCUGAGCUGGGGAGUAGCACUGAGAGCUGGGUUUCAGUGGAAGAAGCGGCCGGGUGCUGCAGGUGAGUGUGUGCAGUGACUGCGGAACAAACACACAUUCUGUAGGUUCUUGAGAGUUAUACCUCCUUCAUGUGUCCCUGCUCGGGGCCUUGUGGUGAAUCACAGAGGGAUGAAAUCUCAACAGAUAAUCCAUUCCUGGUUGGUAAAGAAACUGCACGGCAUGACCAAGGUUCGGCAGGGGAAACUGGAGUUGUGGUACCCAGCCUUGAGACUCGAAAGAAACCAGCCUAUAUAAUAUCAUGUGCCUGGCCCCAAUUUAUUUAUUUUUUGGCCACGCUGACUGGUUUGUGGGAUCUUAGUUCCCCCACCAGGGAUUGAACCCGGGCCACGGCAGUGAGAGCGCCAAGUCCUAACCAGUGGACUGCCGGGGAAUUCCCAAAAACUA